rnacentral:lncRNA from 13 species
CUUGGAAAAUAUAUAAAAUUAAAACUAUAUUACUUCAAACUGAUACAUACAAGUCUGCUUUGGAAUUUGCAAUUAAAAAAACUCAAACCGAUACUGAUAUAUUCGUUCCAGAAGUUCAAA